rnacentral:rRNA from 1 species
GUACACUCCUGCGGGAGGCAGCAGUGGGGAAUAUUGCACAAUGGGCGCAAGCCUGAUGCAGCCAUGCCGCGUGUAUGAAGAAGGCCUUCGGGUUGUAAAGUACUUUCAGCGGGGAGGAAGGCGAUAAGGUUAAUAACCUUGUUGAUUGACGUUACCCGCAGAAGAAGCACCGGCUAACUCCGUGCCAGCAGCCGCGGUAAUACGGAGGGUGCAAGCGUUAAUCGGAAUUACUGGGCGUAAAGCGUACGCAGGCGGUCUGUCAAGUCGGAUGUGAAAUCCCCGGGCUCAACCUGGGAACUGCAUUCGAAACUGGCAGGCUAGAGUCUUGUAGAGGGGGGUAGAAUUCCAGGUGUAGCGGUGAAAUGCGUAGAGAUCUGGAGGAAUACCGGUGGCGAAGGCGGCCCCCUGGACAAAGACUGACGCUCAGGUGCGAAAGCGUGGGGAGCAAACAGGAUUAGAAACCCUUGUAGUCC